AAGUCAUAACAAGGUUUCCGUAGGUGAACCUGCAGAAGGAUCAUUACCUAGAGUUGUAGGCUUUGCCUACUAUCUCUUACCCAUGUCUUUUAAGUACCUUCGUUUCCUCAGCAGGUUCGCCCGCCAAUUAGACAAUUUAAACCAUUUGCAGUUGCAAUCAGCGUCUAAAAAAACAUAAUAGUUACAA
rnacentral:misc_RNA from 1 species